GAUGAAGAACGUAGCGAAAUGCGAUAAGUAAUGUGAAUUGCAGAAUUCAGUGAAUCAUCGAAUCUUUGAACGCACCUUGCGCCCUAUGGCUAUUCCGAGGGCAUGCCUGUUUGAGUAUCAUGAACACCUCAACUCUUCACGGCUUGCCGUGAUGAGUUUGGACUUUGGGGGUCUUGCUGGCCUACGAGCCAGCUCCUCUCAAAUGUAUUAGCUUGCCGGUGUUUGGUGGCAUCACAGGUGUGAUAACUAUCUACGCUUGUGGUUUUCCACUAGGUAACCUUCAGCAAUGGAGGUUCACCGGAGCUCACAAAUGUCUCUCCUUGCCAAGGACAGAUUUUGACCAUUUGAUCUCAAAUCAGGUAGGACUACCCGCUGAACUUAAGCAUAUCAAUAAGCGGAGGA
rnacentral:misc_RNA from 1 species